UACAGAGGUCUCAAGCGUUGUUCGGAUUCAUUGGGCGUAAAGGGUGCGUAGGUGGUGAUGCAAGUCUGCUGUGAAAACUCGGGGCUCAACCCCGAGACGUCGGUGGAAACCACCUGGCUAGAGUCCGGAAGAGGAGAGUGGAAUUCCUGGUGUAGCGGUGAAAUGCGCAGAUAUCAGGAAGAAUAUCCGUGGCGAAGGCGGCUCUCUGGUACGGCACUGACGCUGAGACGCGAAAGCGUGGGGAGCGAACAGG
rnacentral:rRNA from 1 species